rnacentral:rRNA from 1 species
AUUGAACGCUGGCGGCAUGCCUUACACAUGCAAGUCGAACGGCAGCACGGGUGCUUGCACCUGGUGGCGAGUGGCGAACGGGUGAGUAAUACAUCAGAACAUGUCCUGUAGCGGGGGAUAGCCCGGCGAAAGCCGGAUUAAUACCGCAUACGAUCUGCGGAUGAAAGCGGGGGACCUUCGGGCCUCGCGCUAUAGGGUUGGCCGAUGGCUGAUUAGCUAGUUGGUGGGGUAAAGGCCUACCAAGGCGACGAUCAGUAGCUGGUCUGAGAGGACGACCAGCCACAUUGGGACUGAGACACGGCCCAGACUCCUACGGGAGGCAGCAGUGGGGAAUUUUGGACAAUGGGCGAAAGCCUGAUCCAGCAAUGCCGCGUGUGUGAAGAAGGCCUUCGGGUUGUAAAGCACUUUUGUCCGGAAAGAAAUCCUUGGCCCUAAUACGGUCGGGGGAUGACGGUACCGGAAGAAUAAGCACCGGCUAACUACGUG